UGAUAGCUAUGAAGCGCGAGGUUGCUGCCACACUGGCAGGUUUUCCGUGGAGCGAAUGUCAAGUUAGGAAACUGACGACAA
rnacentral:ncRNA from 1 species